GAUGAACGCUAGCGGCAGGCUUAAUACAUGCAAGUCGAGGGGCAGCACUGGUAGCAAUACCUGGUGGCGACCGGCAAACGGGUGCGGAACACGUACGCAACCUUCCCAUAACUGGUGAAUAGCCUUCCGAAAGGGAGAUUAAUACACCGUAACAUAAUGGAGUGGCAUCACUUUAUUAUUAUAGCUCCGGCGGUUAUGGAUGGGCGUGCGCCUGAUUAGGUAGUUGGUAGGGUAACGGCCUACCAAGCCUUCGAUCAGUAACUGGUGUGAGAGCACGACCAGUCACACGGGCACUGAGACACGGGCCCGACUCCUACGGGAGGCAGCAGUAAGGAAUAUUGGUCAAUGGACGCAAGUCUGAACCAGCCAUGCCGCGUGAAGGAUG
rnacentral:rRNA from 1 species